rnacentral:rRNA from 1 species
GAUGAACGCUGGCGGCGUGCCUAAUACAUGCAAGUCGAGCGAACAGAUGAGGAGCUUGCUCCUCUCACGUUAGCGGCGGACGGGUGAGUAACACGUGGAUAACCUACCUAUAAGACUGGGAUAACUUCGGGAAACCGGAGCUAAUACCGGAUAAUAUCUUGAACCGCAUGGUUCAAUAGUGAAAGACGGUUUUGCUGUCACUUAUAGAUGGAUCCGCGCCGCAUUAGCUAGUUGGUACGGUAACGGCUUAUCAAGGCAACGAUGCGUAGCCGACCUGAGGGGGUGAUCGGCCACACUGGAGGGUGGACAGGGUCAAGACUACUACGGGAGGCAGCAGUAGGGUAUGUGCCGCAGUGGGCGAAAGCCUGGCGGAGCAACGCCGCGUGAGAGAUGAAGGUCUUCGGAUCGUAAAACUCUGUUAUUAGGGAAGAACAAAUGUGUAAGUAACUAUGCACGUCUUGACGGUACCUAGUCAGAAAGCCACGGCUAACUACGUG